rnacentral:rRNA from 1 species
CCUACGGGAGGCAGCAGUGGGGAAUAUUGCACAAUGGGGGAAACCCUGAUGCAGCGACGCCGCGUGAGUGAAGAAGUAUUUCGGUACGUAAAGCUCUAUCAGCAGGGAAGAAAAUGACGGUACCUGACUAAGAAGCCCCGGCUAACUACGUGCCAGCAGCCGCGGUAAUACGUAGGGGGCAAGCGUUAUCCGGAUUUACUGGGUGUAAAGGGAGCGUAGACGGCAGCGCAAGUCUGGAGUGAAAUCCCAUGGCUUAACCAUGGAACUGCUUUGGAAACUGUGCAGCUAGAGUGCAGGAGAGGUAAGCGGAAUUCCUAGUGUAGCGGUGAAAUGCGUAGAUAUUAGGAGAAACACCAGUGGCGAAGGCGGCUUACUGGACUGUAACUGACGUUGAGGCUCGAAAGCGUGGGGAGCAAACAGGAUUAGAUACCCCAGUAGUC